UAUAUAUAUAUAUAUAUAUAUAUAUAUAUAUAUAUAUAUAUAUAUAUAUAUAUAUAUAUCUUUCGUGCUACCUCUCUCUUUCUCUCCGUGCCUUCCACCACCCUCGCCAUUUCCGUUCCCAAGGUCUUGCGUGAUCCAAGCUUUGGUGACAAGCGUGGUCAGAAAUAUUUUGUGAGGAUGAAUAGAAAAUUUGGUGGUGGAAGACAGCCGACAGGGACUCCUUCACUGGCUUGGUCCUGUGUGGUUGUUGUCUUCUCUCUUCUUGCUGGUGCUUCUGUUGUUCACAAUAUCUAUAAGCCUAAUCUUACAUUGCCUCCGGUUGAUGGGACCAAGCAGAAAUCUGAUGGGAAAGAAUGAUCAUCUCCCCUGUAAAUUUCUUUUAAUAUAGUGAGAUACUAAGCUUUGGGGCUUAAAGUUAAGUAUCAGUAGUUUAGGAUACAAAAUUAGAAAGGAUUAAGUUAGGAAGAGAAUAUUAUUUCAUUCAUUAAUUUUUUUGGAGUUUUGUUUGUAUGCAAAUAUUUUAAAUUUUUGGUGCAUGUAUGGUUACAACAUUUUUUAUGGCCAAAAUAUUUGAAAGACUGAUA